rnacentral:lncRNA from 1 species
GAGAAUGGACUCCGAUUAUUAAUGAUAAUGGCCUAGCUCGGCCUCACAACCUGAUCUUUUAGAUGUCCGUCUAUCUGCGGACGUUACAAACAAGAAAACAAAUUCAAGACAUGGAAAUCACAGAUCAUAAAACAAAUUACACGAAUAAGCUUAGCUAGCCCACCACACAUGCACAUAAACAUUCUCCAGAUUGUUGUUCUUUAACAAGAGGAUAUAUAUAUAUAUAUAUAUACCUUUAUAUUACCAGCAACUUUUAUGGCUUCGAUGAUUUUGAGCUGGUCGAGAACCUGAGGAUAAGCUACUGUGGAGAUUACUACGUCCACUUGACGAAGAACCGAUACAAGUUUCUCCUGCUCAUCGAAUUCUCCCUGCAACACUUGAAAACUGUUUAGUUAUAAAUCGUCAUUCGUUUGAACACGUACAUGUAGAGUGAAGGGUAAUCAAGAUGAGUGCUGGUAAAUUAGAAAACGAAGGGGUAAUUAGAUUAAUCAAUAAAUACUUGAACAGUGGUGACCCCCAUGGCUUGGAAUUCCUCGCGGAUGCCUAUUUUAGCAGGAGAAGAUUGCGUGGUGAUGGGACGAGCAUAUACGUAAGUUUUGUGGCCCAUUGAAACACUUGCUUUCACCAUAUACUUGCCUAAGUAGCCAGUUCCCCCAAAUAUGAGGAUUCUCCUGCUCUUCUCAUGCUCCAUUGCUUGCUCUCUUAGCAACCACAACUAGCUCGAUAAUUUAUAGAGCAGAAAAUUGACCCCUCAGGUUGAUGUCAUCAUACACCCUCAGUUCUUAAUUAAUUUUGUGUCGAAAAGAUCCAAAGUCUUUUUUGUCAUUUUAUUUUACAAUAACUAUAUAUCAUCUUGUGAUCCCUAACAAUUAAGUUAUUAUUAAAAACAAAUAUAGAACUAUCAAAUAGUAAACUUUGUCAAAAUUAUCAAAAUAAAUAAAUGUUAUUAUUAAAAAAAUCAUUGAUAUCAUAAUAAUAUCAAGAAUAUUAAUCAUAAUAAAUAAUCAAAUUCAUGUUCUAUUAAUCCAGUCCAAUUAAAUUAUCAACAAAUUCAAGGAGUGAGUAUUAUUUUGGGAUAGAUUUUAUAUUUCUAAUAAGUGGUGGAGACAUAUAAAAGCAAGAGGGGGUAAUUUACCCCGUCCCCCUCCACCUACAGUGCACAAAUAUAAUUAAUAUUUUCUAUCUAGUUAAAUAAUUCUUAUUCUCUUCUAAUAAUCUUGUCUAUAAUAAUUACUUGGAGAGAUUUCUCAACUCCUCCUGGUACAACUUUUGCAGCAUAUUGAAAUUCAACUUUGCAGGCUUUCGUACAUGUUCGAUGCUGCUAUUCUAGAUUUUAUUUGCUGAUAAUUUUCACUCUCAAUCUAAUGUUCACCUUCCAAACUCAGGCCGUAACCAAUAACAUAGUAAGAGUUGUCCAAACAAAAGCUUCCAUUAAAUAAAGUGGAACUUUAAGAACAACAACCGGGAUCACAUAAGCCAAACAUGAUAAAAAUAUUACUCUUUUUGCUUAUAAAAAAUUGCAAGUCGGGAUGACUAAAAAACAAUAAAUUCAAAACUCAUUUUAUAUGAAGAAAUAAAAUAUAAAUGCCAAAGUAAUUAAUUUUUUUAAUUAAAUUCAAGCAUUUUAAUACACAUUAAUUAAUAAAGAGUCUAAACUAUAUAUAGAAACAUGUUAGUGGUAUCAAGUGGCUGAAGGAUAUGACGAAGUUAAAAAUCUAAACUAUUAUAGAAUCACAGAUGCACAAAGGCACCAGUGACAGAACUGAGGGAGAUGACCCACAUAUCUGGAACUCGAGAAAAUGACAAGGAAAGUGAAAAAACAUAAAGACAUUUUCCAUGUGAUAAAACAUGAUCCGUCAACAAUGAUAGUUAUACGUCAGAAAUUGUAUUAUUAUGGUGAGAUUCAUUACAAUUUCCAUAGGAUCGAGGUCCCAUUAUUUGUGCGAGGGCAGGGUGCAAGUCUUUGCACGCCUAAUAAUUUCGUCUUCAAUAUUAAUAAAAAAUAAUCUCAUUUUAAAUAUUUAUUUUGAAUGGAUGACCUUUGAGUGAGUGCAGGGCUACUAGCCUGCUUAGCUGGUGAUCUCAUAUGGGUUAAACAAGUGGGUAUGAAAGAGCUUAACCUAAUCUACGUACAAAGACGAGAAGAACAGGAAAAUAAAAGGAGGAAGACAGCAGGGUAAUAUUUUUUUAUUUUUUAAAAUUUAUUUUUAACAUAACAUAUUAAAAUCAUCCAAAACCAAAAAAAAAAAAAAAAACAAGUAGCACAAUUUCUUGUUGGUCUGUCUGAUGUAGAAUUUAAUAAUGAGUCAAUCAAAGGAAACAGGACUUCCCGACAACAAUCCAGUGCAAGGCUCACAUGUGAAUCACAGAUACACAAAGGCACCACUGAGAGAACUGAGGCAGAUGACCACAGCCUGGAACUCGAGAAAAUGACAAGGAAAGCGAAAAAACAUAAUGACACUUUCAUGUGAUAAAACAUGAUACGUCAACAAUGAUAAUACCAAAUUAGGCAGGUUUCUUUGCUGGGAAAUAAUUCUUUUUUGGAAAGUAAAUCUUAGGAAAAUUAAUUAUAUUUUAAUGUUUGAUAGUAUAAUAAAAAAUAAGUUAAAAAAAUAAUUUUUAAUGUUUGGUUAUGUCAUGGAAAAAGAGCAGGAAAAUAACUUAUUAAUAUUUUUUUUUCAAAUUUAUUAAAAUUAUGAGAAACAAAUCUUACAAAUUAAAAAGUUGAAUGAGAAUGAAAUUAAAAAAAAAUUUCAUAAAUUAUCUCAAAUAAAAUAAAUAAUAAUCAAAAUAAUAGAAAUCAAAUCUAAAAAAUAAAAAAAAUUGAAAGAUGAAGAAAUUAAAAUAAUAAUAAUUAACAUUUCAUAAAUUAUUUCAAAUAAAAUAAAUAAUAAUAAAAAGAAUGAGGAUCAAAUUUGAUAGAUAAAAAAAUUCAAUUAAAAAUUGAUAAGGGAAAAGGAAAUAACAAUUAUAAAAAUCAGAACCAAAGUUAAUAUAAAAAUUAAAUUCUAAGGGAUGAAAUUGAAAAACAAAUAUUCAAAACAAAAUAUAUAUAGCAAUUAAAAGUUUGAGGAUCAAAUUUCAUAUAAUCAGCAAAUAAUAUGACAUUUCUAAAUUUUUGGCGACUUCUGAAAAAUGUUUUCCACCUAAAAUAAAAGGAAAACACUUUCUUGAAAGCUAAGCCAAAUUUUUCUUUAACUAGAAAGUGUUUUCCAGUGACCAAAAAGUAUUUUUUAUUGACCAAUUUUUCUAAUGAUAAAUAAUCAGAAAAAAAUAAUUUAAAGUGAUUUUUCAGAAACUAUUUUUGGCGAAACAAAUUCACCUUAGAUUUAUAGUAUUCAUUUUCACUUUAAAGCUGACAAAAAUGUUAGAAAUUGUAGUAUUAUGGUGAGAUUCAUUAAUAAUUUUCAUAGGAGGUCCCAUGGUUUGUAGUAUUCAAUUUCACUUUGAAAGCUCAAAAAAAUGUUAGAAAUUGUAUUAUUAUGGUGAGAUUCAUUAAUAAUUUUCAUAGGAGGUCCCAUGAUUUGUGCGAGGGUAGAGUAUCAGGUCAUGAGUUUGCUUCUUAGAGAUUACUAGUUCCGAGUCCCACAAAUUUUAGAAUCACUUGAGACUUAUAUAAUUAUUAACUUCGAGAGUCGUGAGAUUAGUCGAGGUACGCGCAAGCUAACCCAGACACCCACGCUAAUUAAAAAAAGAAGGAAUUGUUAGCUAACUUUUGGAUUUGUAUUUAGCACCAUUUAUUUUCUUUAAUUUGUCAUUUUUGGGUCCAAUAUUCACAACUAAAUCAAUGGUUAUUUGUUAUAAUAAGGUCAGGUAUCACAUCGGCAAAUGAGCAAAAUAGUAAUAUAAUAGAGUAAUGAAAAAUAAACCACAUGCUACAUCUUAUUCCAGUGAAAGAUAAUUUAUAGAGCGGAAAAUUGACCUCAGGCUAAUGUCUGCUCUUAGUCUUUUGUUUAAAAGAUCCAAAGUCUUUUUGUCAUUUUAUUUUACAAUAAAUAUCAUCUUGCCCCUAACAAUUAAGUUAUUAUUUAAAAAAAUAUAUAAAAGUAUCAAAUAGUAAACCUUGUCAAAAUUAUCAAAAUAAGUAUAUGUUAUUGUUAAAAAAAUCAUUAAUAUCAUAAUAAUAUCAAGAAUAAUCAUAAUAAAUAAUCCAAUCUAAUAAAAUCAUCAAGAAGUUAAAGGAAUGACUGUUAUUUUAAGAUAAAAUUUAUUCCUAUAAUACCAUAAAUUUGUUAUGAAUUUUUUUGCUUCUUUUAUUUUAUUUUUUUAUCUCAACUGUUUUUAGUUUAAAAAGGAAAUAGUUUUUUUUUUAAAAAAAAAAGAAAUUUUUUUUAUCAUAAUAGAUGUAUGAUAAUGAAUAUACCUAUUUAAAUUCACUUAACUCUCACCUUAUUCAUCAACACAUUUAAGUUAUUAGAUUAAUUUUAAUCAAGUUUGUCAUAACCUAAUUUUUUACCAUUUUUUAUUUUAAUUAUUAUUAUUAUUUUAUUUACUGAAAAGGAUUAAAAAAAAUGAUGAAAAAAAAAUAAUAAUGAUGAAAAAACAAGUAAAAUGAAAUAAAUGUAGAAUGAAUUAAAAUUUGGGUUAAGGGCAACAUGAUUGGAAGUUUUGAGAUUUAAUUAAACUUUAGAAUUAAUCUAAUUAAGCUUGGAAUUAAUUUAAUUAAUCCAAUUAAGGGUUUAAUUGGAGAAUUGAUAAGUUUCGAGACUUAAUUGAGCUUGGAAUUAAUUUAAUUAAUCCAAUUAAGGGUUUAAUUGGAGAAUUGAUAAGUUUUGAGACUUAAUUGAGCUUGGAAUUAAUUUAAUUAAUCAAGUAAAGGGUUUAAUUAGAGAAUCGACAAGUUUUGAGACUCAAGUGAGCUUGGAAUUAAUUUAAUUAAUCCAAUUAAGGGUUUAAUUGGAGAAUUGAUAAGUUUUGAGACUCAAUUGAGCUUGGAAUUAAUUUAAUUAAUCCAAUUAAGGGUUUAAUUGGAGAAUUGAUAAUGAAAUCAGGGACUUAAUUGAGGAAAUAGCAAAGUUUGGGGUUAAUUGGGGGCACGAUUGCAACGAAUUAAAGUACAAGGACUAACGUGUACUCGAAACCAGUUUAAACUAGGGGCUUAAUUACAGGACUCGAAACUGCACGGGUCAAAUUGUAAAAUGACCACUUUUCACAUCUCAAGACGACGCCGUUUCAAGAGACAUUAUUCGUCUUCUUCAAAACCAGAAACAGACACUGCACGAUCCUCAAUCCCUCAUUAUUUCUUCAAACGGUUGGUCACCUCAUUAUUUAGAGGCGACCGCAUGGUAUUAUGAUGUGUACUUGACACAACAGAAUUUGAGAGAAAGGAAUAGGGAAAGAAGAGUUUAAAGAAGAACAAUUUAUUUCAUGAUAUCUUCUCUCCCGUAGGCCAGAGCUUUUAUAGGCCUUUGGUUCCGGAAGUUACAAGCAGAUUAAAAGCAAUAAAAGAGGAACAUGUGCCACUAAGUGAUCAUGGCUGUUCCACUUCACACGUGGUCAUGAAUGCCCAUGAAUUCCCCACAUAACAUACAUCUAAAGAAAGUAACUGCAACUAAUUAAUUCCCACAACCCACGACCAGCUGUGGUUACUUUCCCCCCACGACCCUUUGCAUGGCGCAGGUAUGCAUGAUGGGCUGUUUGUCCAUAUCAUUCCUUCCCACCCGAAAAAUCCUUGUCCUCAAGGAUAAACUCCGGAUAUGAUCGGGAGAAACGCCAUUUAUUUUCCCACGUUGCGUCUUCAACUGGGGCACCCACCCAUUUGACCAGCAGUUCCUUGCGUGGGCGAUACCGUCCCUUUUGGAUGAUGUGUUUGUCCAGUAUGGCCUCUGGUUGGGGAAGCAGUGUCGAAUCCUUUGAAACAAGAGGAAGAACUGGUGAGGCCGGGGCCGAAGUGCCCACAUGUUUUUUUAAAAGGCUAACGUGAAACACAUUGUGGAUUAAAGAUCCAAUUGGUAAUUCCAUCGACUGCCGAAAAUUGACUGAGUUUUCGCGGUAUGGGUGAAGCUUUAAGUAAACAUAAUCCCCGACAUUGAAUACUACGUCUUUACGACUUUGAUUUGCCUGCAUCUUCAUUUUGUCCCGUGCGACAUUCAGAUUGAGACGUAGCUCUCGUAACAGUUCAGACCUACUGCGGAGGAGGUCAUCGACAACUUGAAUUUUUAUAGUCCCUGGCACAUACGAGAGCAGUGAAGGAGGAGGCACACCAUAAACAACCUCAAACGGUGAUAGUUUGGUGGCGGUAUGCACAGAGGUGUUGUAACUGUACUCGGCCCAGGAAACCCACUCUAUCCAUUUGUUGGGUUGUGCACUGGUGAAGCAACGGAGGUACUGUUCCAGUGUGCGGUUAACCACCUCUGUUUGGCCGUCGGUCUGGGGAUGGUAACUGGAACUCAUCGUCAAGUUGGUCCCAUGCAAUUGGAAUAGAGUUUUCCAGAAUGAACUCACGAAAAUCUUGUCCCUAUCACUCACAACUGAGGAUGCUGUAAAUGGGUGUUUUAAUGGCACAAAAUGGGCGUAUUUGGACAAACGGUCCACAACCACCAUAAUGACAGUAAAACCUUUGGAAACUGGUAAUCCCUCCACAAAAUCCAUGGAAAUGUUAGUCCAUACCUGUAGGGGAAUGGGCAAAGGUUGGAGCAAGCCGACUGGUUUGGUGUUGUCAUACUUGCAUCAUUGUCAUACCUCACAGUGCUUAAUAAAGUCUUUAACAGCCGAUCGUAACCCCGGCUAGUUGAAGCUUUUCUUGAGGCGACUAAGAGAUUUAUGGUAUCCAAAAUGUCCCCUGGUAGGAGAGGAAUGAUGUUCAUUUAGAAUAGCAGGGAGUAAGGAAGAUGGACUCAGGUACACACGUCCCUUCUUGUACCAAACUCCAUCACGUUGAAAAUAAAGCUUGUGAUGCAGAGGUGAAGUUGGAUUGUCCAACUGAGCAUAGAAGGGAUAUUGGGAUACUUCUUGUUGGAGAAUUGCCCAUCAGUCAGCUACGAGCAUUGAAAUGGCCGCGCAACUCCAUUAUGUCACCCUUGACAAUGCAUCUGCUCCUUGAUUCUCCUGUCCCUUCUUGUAUUGGAUCGUGUAGUCAUACCCCAUGAUCUUGGGCAGCCAACAUGCUUGAGUGGGUGUCGUAAUCCUCUGUUCUAAUAAAUAUUUCAAGCUCCGCUGGUCUGUUUGAACAAUGAAUGGUUUGCCCAAGAGAUAUGUGUGCCACUUGCGGAUAGCUUUCACGAUGGCUAACAUUUCCUUCUCAUAUGUAGAUAGGGUGAGUGCUGAACCUUUGAGAGCCUCACUAUAAAAAGCAAAUGGGUGAUCUUCUUAUUUAGGAUGGCGUCGAUUCCUACCCCACACGCAUCACUUUCGACAAUGAAAGGUUGUGUGAAGUCUGGUAGUCGCAAGGUCGGAGGAGACACCAAUGCUUGUUUUAGCCGAUUAAAGGUUGUAGUUGCUUCAGCACUCCAAUGGAAACCCUCAUUUGUCAGCAAUCGGGUGAGAGGGGCGGCGAUUCCCCCGAAUCCACUUAUAAACUUGCGGUAGUAACCCGCUAGCCCAAGGAAUCCUCUAACGCCCUUUACUGUGGUGGAAGUGGGCCAUUCAUUCACAACCCUUGUCUUUGCUGGAUCCACUUGCACCCCUUCAUGUGAAAUCAGAUGCCCCAAAUAGUCUACCCGCAUGACUCCAAAACAACAUUUGGAUUUUUUAACAAAUAGUUGAUUUGUGGACAGGAUCGUGAGUACCGUAUGGAGAUGGGAGAGAUGAUCCCCCUAAUUGUGGUUGUACACCAAUAUAUCGUCGAAGAACACCAGCAUAAAUUUCCGCAGAUGAGGCCUGAAUAAAUCGUUCAUGAGACCUUGGAAGGUGGCAGGGGUGUUGGUGAGACCGAAUGGCAUUACUAUAAAUUCAUAGUGUCCAUCAUGUGUCCGGAAUGCCGUUUUCGGUACAUCUUCCUUUUUUACUCUGAUUUAGUGGUACCCUGAACGCAAAUCAAGCUUCGAAAAAUAUCGGGCGUUAUGCAAUUCAUCUAGCAAUUCAUCUAUAACCGGAAUAGGGUACUUAUCUUUGAUUGUUAUUGAUUCAGGGCUCUAUAAUCUAUGCAGAAGCGCCAACUCCCAUCCGCCUUUUUGACCAGCAACACUGGUGAUGAAAAUGGGCUAACACUAGGUCGAAUGAGGCCAGACUCCAGAAAUUCUUUUACCAUCUUCUCGAUUUCGCCUUUUUGAUAAUGUGGGUACCGGUAGGGCCGAACACUAAUAGGGCCUUAGUGUGGUUGUAACGGUAUGCGAUGAUCUUGUGGCCGUUCGGGUGGUAGUUUUGUUGGAGCCUCAAAGCUUUGUUGGAAUUCUGUCAGUAGUUGUGAAAGAUCAUUAGGAUGAUCUGUGGUUGUCUCAUUUACUUCCACGGCGGCAAUCUGUAAAAAAAAUCCCAACCCCUCUAUAUUGACCAGCUCUUUGUCACGUAAGAUUUUGUGUGGGGACUGCCUCAGCCCCUGAAAUAUUCUGGUGAUUCCAUCUUGUUGGAAGCUCAUUGUCAACUCCCUGUAUUCUGUUUUAAUAGGCCCCAGGGUCUCUAACCAUUGCACCCCUAAUACUGCCUGGCAUGCAACCACUGGAAGUACAUAGAAAUCUGCUUGUAUGGUGCACCCUUGAAUCAUCACUGUGAGGCUCAAACACCGUCCGUUACACUCAAUCAUCUCACGGUUAGCUACCAUUACCCGGAAGGUUUUAUCCCGCAGCACCGACAGUCCUAAUCGGGACACCACAGACUGAUCGAGGAAGUUGUGUGUGCUCCCCCCAUCAAUCAAGACAAUAAUAUCUUGGGUUUUUAGUCUACCAAUCACGCGGAUGGUUUGAGGGUGAUUAGCUCCUGAAAUUGCAUGGAAUGAGAUUUCUGGGAUUGGUUCCAUGUCGGGAAGAUCAUAUGCGCCUUCUUCGAAAUUUAAUUCAUCUCCAAUAGAAGUGUCCUCGAUCAUGAAAAGUUGAGGUCGUUGGCACCGGUAUCCUCGGACAAAUUUUUCAUCACAGUAGAAGCAUAAGCCUUUUGCUCGCCGAUCCCUGGCUUCCUGACGGUAAUUCUUGUAAAACCCCCUUGUGACUUCUGAUUUGGGCUUGUGAUGGGUGGUGGUCCUAGAAGGCCGACUGAAGUACUGGUGUUGUUUUUCGGGUGUGUUAGGACCCCGGCUGUUCGGAGAACUGGAGUAAAUCUUUUAUGCAGCUGGAUUCGCUCCUCUACAAACCUUGCCACUCUAAUCGCGUCAGUGUGCUCGGCUGUUUAACCUUGAUAUCCAGCCGUAUUUUCUGGUAAUCCAUCAAUGCAUUGGGAUAGUUUCUCAAACUCCGUCUGGUAGGUGCUGACAGUGGUAGAUUGUCUGAGGCGAGUGAGGGCUUCAGAAGGGUCUUCGUAGUCGGUUGGCCCGAAACGGUGUAGCACAGCCUGGGAGAAUUCUGCCCAAGUGAGAUGUCCCCGGAAUUUACUCAACCAACGGUGCCAUUGGAGAGCAUCUUCUUCCAAGUGAAAGGAAGCUGCUAGCUGCACCUUAUGUAGGUAAUGGACAUUUUUGAAUUCGAAAUACUACUCAGCUUUAUAUAACCCAUUGAAUCUUGGGAAGGACAACUUGAGUUGUGUGUAAUUCCAGUCAGCUAUUUGGGUGGAAUGAAAAGUGUCUGUUUGUGAAGGGUUCCGAAUACACAAGUUGGGUGGAUGGGUUAAAAUCUGGUGGGUUGGAAUUUCGAUGGGUCGAUGUUUCGGCUUGGAAAAAUGGGCUUACCUCUCUUUCCGUGGAAUUUUGAGAGUGUGCGUGACGAAGGGCCUGUAACUCAGCCACCACCGUUAGUAGGGUUGCAUUCAUUUGAUCGAUGCUGUGAUUAGCUUGGGUGAUGUUGUUAUUGGCUUGAUCGAUCCCCACUUAGUGAUGAGCUAGAGUUUCAUUCACCUCGUUUUGAAAUUCCGUAUUUGUUUUAGCUCGUGUCUCCAUGAUUAACCCUGGCUAUGAUAGCAAUUGAUGUGUACUUGACACAACAGAAUUUGAGAGAAAGGAAUAGGGAAAGAAGAGUUUAAAGAAAAACAGUUUAUUUCAUUAUAUCUUUUCUCCCGUAGGCUAGAGCUUUUAUAAGCUUUUGGUUCCGAAAGUUACAAGCAGAUUAAAAGCAAUAAAAGAGGAAUAUAUGCCACUAAGUGAUCAUGGUUGUUCCACUUCACACGUGGUCAUGAAUGCCCAUGAAUUCCCCGUAUAACAGACAUCUAAAGAAAGUAACUGCAACUAAUUAAUUUCCACAACCCACGACCAGCUGUGGUUACUUUCCCCCGUGACCCUUUGCAUGGCGCAGGUAUGCAUGAUGGGCUGUUUGUCCAUAUCAUAUUAUUUGGCUAUAUAAAAGCAACCUAUGAUAUGAUAUGGACAAACAGACGGGACGAAGAGAGACGGAACCAGGGGAAAGUUUUGGUCCCUCAACCAGCAGCAAAUCAUCGUGCUUUUACCAUGAUUGUCUUCGUCUUGAACGGAGAAGACUGGGCAGAGACACAAAAAAGGAAGAGAAACUGAGGAGAACAGGAAAAGGACAGGGAAACGAACAAGACGAAGAAGAGCAAAUUUUCCGCUCCUGUUUCUUCUCAAAGGAACAGAGGCUGUCCUCUGGCUUUAUAAAAGCCAGAGAAGGCCACGGAGGAAAAAGGGGAUCACUGCCUUCUCCAUAUCCAACACCAGAGAUGGAAGACGGAGAGAAAACAAAGAGACGAUAAAGGGAGAGACGAACAAAAAAACACAUGGAGGAACAGAGACCGGAGAGGAAAAACAGAGAAAUCACAGAAGGGAGAUUAAAGAGAAAACAUAGGUAAAUAAAGAACAAACAGUGAGGGGCUGACUGAAGCAAGCUUCAACGGGGAGAGGAAUGAAAAAACAAUGAGGGGCUGACUGAAGAAAGCCUUCAACAGGGGAUUGAACACGAAGAAAAGUCAGGGGAAGGAGACUAGACAGAGAAAUAAAAAACAGAUACAGAGAGGGAGAGGGAGAGAGAAUCCUGAGAGCAGAAGAAAGCAAGAGAUAAAGCGAAAGAAGGGAAAGAACGUCGCCCGGCCAGCUCUCCAUCACCGUCAUCUUCAUCUCCAAGUGCAGCGCCAGGUAAGUAGCGUUUUCCUUCCUUGCAUUUUAAUUACAUGCUCCUGUAGGUAAAAACAGAAAUAAUGGCCAGCCGGGUCAAGCCUGUGACCCGGCUAGGCCUGCUGGGUCCAGCCCAGCCAUGUGGGCUAAGCUGGGCCCAGCCCCAAAAAAAUAAAAAAAAUAAAUAGAAAAGGUAGAAAAAAUAAAAAAAUAAUAAAAAAUAUGUAUGCAUAAAUAAAAAUAAUAUAAAUUUAUUGGUUUAUUCACUCACGCCAGAGUCAGGAAUAAAAAAUACCAGUUUAAAUUUAUAUUAUUUUUAUUCAUUGUAUUUUAUUUAUUUUUAUUUUUUUAGCUAGAAAAUAAAAAAUAUAUGCAUGCGUAAAAAUAAAUUUAUUUUAUGUGAAUAUUUACUGGCGUCAGAGUCAGGAAUAUUAUAAGCAAAUUAUCAUAGCAUAAACUAAUAAACAUUUAACAAUUUAAGACAAAACCAGCAAUGUAGUCUGCAUCAGACAGAACGUUUAAGGGGUGAUAAUAUCUUCCUUUUACGUAACCAAUCCCGAGUCAUAGAAUCUCUAAUGACCAGUUAGGUUUCGUAGUGACCGUAAUACUAGGUGGCGACUCCUUAAACAAGACUUUUCCCCCUAAAAGAACCAGAUACCAGAAAUAUGUUCUUUUUCUAUAUUCAAAGAUUAUAAUUUGACAAGUAAGGACUCAAUUAGGAAAAUUAAGUCAAGGACUAAAUUAUAUUUACUCUAAGAUAUGAUGACUAAAAAACAAUAAAUUCAAAGCUUUUUUAUAUGAAAAAAUAAAAUAUAAAGGCCAAACUAUAUAUUUUUUUUAAUUCAAGCAUUAAAAUAUACAUUAAUAAAAAUUCUAAACUAUAGAAACAUGACACAUGCCAAUUUUUAUUACGUUAGUGAUAUCAAAUGGGAAGGAUAUGAUGAUGUUAAAAAUUUUAAAUACAAGAUAUUAAGACAAAAAAGAAAAGUAUAAUAACCUUUUAAAUUCAAGGAAAAAAUGAAUUGAAGGAUAUAAAAAAAGAAUAAACUAGAUAAAUUUCACUACCAGAAAAUCGAUAAAUAUAAACGAAAUUACUGAGAGAAUCUUUCUGUCGGUAACUUUCCAAUGGAUUUUACCGAUGGCAAUAUUCCCUUGGUAUAUAUCGAGGGAAUUACAAUGGAAAAAAAUAAUUAAACAAAGCAAAAAAAAUAAUGACAUGAUGAAUUUACCAACAGAAUUACCAACGGAAUAAAUUCCACUGUAAACAUUGGUCGUUGGUAAACUGUGAACAUUGUUCAUCAUGUCAAUUACAAAGAAAAUUACCAACAGAAAUUCCGUCGUUAUUUUCCAGAGAACUCUGCAACUGUUCACUUUCCGAUUGCACUCUUAAUUAUUGUUUUUUAUAGAUUAAAUUACCGACGGAUUGAAAAGUCUGAUCAGUGACGCAAAUUAAAUAUCACUAGAUUUAUUAACCCCUGUUGUAUUGUAUUGCGAAUCGAAUUAGUUUUUUAAAGUAAAAAAAAUAUUUAAAUAUUAACAAUGUAGUUUUUAAUAAAGAAUUUUAAUUAUGAAUUUAAAAUAUAAUGCAUAUUGGAUUACAUUUCUUAAAAAUUAUUAAUACAAUGACAUAUUGGAUGAUAUUUUUUUAAAAUAUUAAGACAGUAACUUAUUAAAUUAAAUCAUAUUAACCUGUCAAAUAUUUGAUCACAGUCAUAAAACCAUGAUAACCCUACAAAAAACAUUAAAAUAAAUUAUGAAGGUCAAUUAAUAAUUAAUCUAAUGUUGAAGAAAAAAUUAAAAAAUAACAAAAAAAAACCACCCGGGUCAAUCCUAGUUAAUCUAUCAAACCAGCAACUCAAAUUCACAUGUUAAACUAACAACUCGGGUUUAUAUGUCAAAUAGAUAACUCGGCUUAUAAAAUCAUGAUAAUUCCAUUAAAAAUAAAUAAAAAAAAUUACAAAACUAAAACUCAAAGAUAAAAUAAAAAAAUAUAUUAAAAAAUAAAAAAUAUAUAAAACAUCACUUUCAAUAGUUCUAACCAUAGUUUUAAAACCCGGCCGACCCGGGCAUGAGACCGGUCUGGGUGGAGGCCAAAACCCGCUUGGGAAUUGGCCUGGCCAGACCCGGUCGACCCAGGACCCGGCAAGACCCGGCCUCAAACGACGUCGUUUUGAUUUUUCAAAAAAAAAAAAAAUUGACCCGGCCAACCCGGCGACCCGGUCAAAACCCGGAACCCGGGCCUUGGACAGGGCCGACCACCGAGCCGAGUCUUAAAACUGUGGUUCUAACAAGUAACAACCCGGUUUUUUUUUUUUUGUCUUGAAUCAUGACCGACAGUUAGUUGACUGACGGAUUGCGUUAUCACUUGACAAGUUUUGGUGGUAGCUUUGCACGCUACAUUGUUUCCACUUUUACAAAGCAGACAGGGCAAACAUGUCGACAUAAAUACAGGCUUUAAAAGACCCUACUGAACUCUACUCCUGCAAGAUCUGCUUAGGAUAUACCACUGAUCUACAUGCUCUUUACCAAGACGUUACACUUGAAGAUUUUUGUAUUUUACUAACAAAUAAUUCCAUUGCUAUUUAGACACUAAUUUAGUAAAUGUAGAAGGAGAAAGUAAUGUAUUAAUAGAGAAAUAAUAUAAGAAGCAUGAGAAAAGUGUGUAGAAAAAGAAGCAGGAGCAAUACAUGCUGUGAAUGAAUUUUACUUAUCUAACUUUGCUUGAGUGUUUUACUUGAUGGCUAAAGGUAUUUAUCGACUUUGUUCGUGUCAUAUCACCUCAUGUAGUAUGGAGAAUAAUAUUGCAUACCUCAUGAUAUGUAAAGUAAUAAUAGAGAGCGAAUCAUGCUGAGUGCUAAUACUCCAUAUUGGUUUAUAGUACUUGUUAUGCCACUAGUAGAGAGGGUGGUACUUUUGAUUUGUACAGAGAAAUUAAAAAAAUAAAAUCGUUUUGUAAAAAAAAAAGACCAAUAUCAAUUCCGAUUAACAUUUCAUACUCAUAACAUAGGUUAUCAGACCUAGAUCAUUGCACUGCAAAAAAAUACGAAGUUCAAUUCACAAUCAAUCAAUGUUAAAUUAUGAAAUUUUUUAAAAAAAAAUUAAAAAAAAAAACAAAGAGAAAAAGCAGGAAUUAAAAAAUAAAGACCAAAUUUGACAUAAAAAUAAAAUAAUGAGAGAAGAAAUUUGAAAAAAAACAUUAAUUAAGAAAAAAAUAUAUAUAAUAGCAAUUCAAAGAAUGAAAACCAAUUCAAGAGGUGUUCCACACAUCAUCCGAAGAGUGUAAUCACAUUCCACGUGUUGGUGCGUGCCACAUAUACACUAACAACUUUUAUUUUAAAAUAAUAUUUUAUAUUUUUUAAAAUAUUGAAUUGCCUUUGAGUUAGAUUCCAUGUACUCAAUUGGGUUAAAAAAAUUAUAUAAUUUAUUUUUAUCUAAAAUGUACACUUGUAAAACUAAAAACCAAUCAAAUAUCAUGGUGUUUGUUUGAUAUCAUGAUAAAAAAAAAUAUCAAACUGAAACAAAUAAUGUUAUCCAAUAAAUACUCAUUAAAAUAUUAAAUAAUGAAACUAGAAAAAUCAAUAAAGAUCAAAUUGUGAUGUAUUAAAUUUGAAAAAAAAUAAUACAAAAUGCAAAAAUAAAGAUACAAAGAAGGAAAAGAGGCUCAUAUGCUUGGGUUUGGUUGGCCUAGUGUUCUAGGCCUACAAAAAGACUCGGUAGUGUGUGCCUAUAGUAGCCUACAUACCAGGGUCUUUAUUUUAUUUUUUUUUUUUUAUGGGGUGAAUAAUCUAUCACCCCCACUUAAAUCUUUUAAAAAAGAAUAGAGGUGUUGCGUCACAUGUCUUAUCCUUAUUUUGGCGACCUCUAGUCACUGAAAAGUUAGGGUUGUGAUUUUUCAAACAAAAAAAAAAAUUCAUUCUCGAUUGUAUCUUGAACAAAAAAUACCAAAAAAUACCCUCAACACCUUGAAAAUCAUUUGCAUGCCUUCAAACAACUCAAAAAUUAUCCUAAAAAACCACAAUAAACCUGAAACUGAUUUUUUUAGCUCAGAUUCACCAUCUCAUGUAGGGUCAAGGAAAAAUAACAUAUAGGAUAACUAUACUCAUAAAAAUAAAUCCAAUGACACCAAAUUAAAUCAUAUUUUUUUAAUGGCCAUAAUUUUUGUCAAUUGAGACUUUUUUUCUUUACCACUAAAAUCUAACUAUUUUCUCUCUCCUCUCUUAAAUCAAAGACAAAAAAAAAAAAAAAUAAAGUUUAGGAUCAAUAUUGAAAAAUUUAUAUUUUAAAAAAUUUGAGGCCUAAAAUGAAUAUUCUCGCUAAGUUUAAAACAACACCCACUUAGGUAGCCUUUCUAACUUUCGUUUUGUAUUUUUGAAUGAUGUCCUUCAUCGGUAAAUGUGUUUUAAGGUUUUAGCUGGAUUUGGAUUCAUGACAGUGUAAUUGAAAAAAAAAAAAAAAGAAUAAAUCACUGCAACAAUAUAUAUAGUGAUUUGUCUAUACAUGAACAGUAGCAUAAGAAACGAUAUUAUUUUACUGAGCCUUUUAGUGUUUUGUAUAAUAAUAAUAAUAAUAAUAAUAACAAUAAUAAUGUUAUGCACUCAUGUAUUAAUCUUGAGAAUUUGGAGGCCUAAAUGUCAUUAAGACGACAAUAAUAAUUGCAGUACCAAAGCCAAUUCUAACAAGUCUCAGAACACGAAACAGAAUGUGACACACUAGAUCCCUCCAAAGACAAUACAGCCAAGGUAUACAGAGAAAGGACUCCGAUUAUUAAUGAUAAUGAACUAGCUCGGCCUCACAACCUGACCUUUUAGAUGUCCGUCUAUCUGCGGACUUACGUUACAAACAAGAAAACAAAUUCAAGACAUGGAAAUCACAGAUCAUAAAACUCAUUCAAAAGCAGCAGCUGCAGGAUCUGGAGGGCUAGUGAGAAAAACAUCAAGAAGUUGAUCGAUCGAUCUAAAUUCCAGGUCUGGAUAUAGCCCAGAAGCCUCCAAGUCAUCCUCUCCCAGUUCAAACCCCAUCGUGUCACCCUUCACGAACAAACUGUGAAGAAUAGAAACUGGAAUAUUUUGUGGUGGUGGAAGGGCUGCACCAGAUGUUAGCAAGAAGUCAAAUGCUUUUAAAAGGUAAAAAGAAAUCAUAUAGAAUGGAAGAAUCCCAUUAAUCAAACGAAAAGGGCAAGAAGCCAAAGUAUAUCAAAUAUUAAAAAAUAAAGAGUCAACAGAAAUUUCUUACUCUCAGAGAGCUUCACUAUCUCAUCCUCAGGGACGUAAAUCCUAUUAAAUGUCUUUCCAGUCUUCUUCUCCCAAAGGGAAAUAAGUUCAAGCUGAGUUACAAUGUUCUUCUGCGGCCGAUAGAUUACAACUCGAUUGCAUGUUUCGGGGUCAUCAGCUAUUUUGAUGGUGUACAUGGCUAUAUCUUCUUCAUAGUUUAUCACCGCUGUCAAACAUAAUAUAUAGAUACUGAUGUAGUGUACGUGUACAGUAAAUUUGGAUUUUGAUUUACACAAUGACGACGAUAAUGAAUGUAUGGAAUAGAUGUUUUCGUACCCUUAGCUUCACCAGAGCCAUAGACAGAGAUAUCUUGAGGUUGCUCGUGUGGACGGAGCAAGUAAUUGACAAAAUAUGCACCAAAGCAAUUUGCUGAAACAAAAGUGUAAGGGAUUCCAGCUUCCACUGUGGCCCUCCUGAUCUUCCUCUUCUUCUCAAGGAAAGCUUCAAAUGGGGGCAAGGGAGUCACUCUGUCCUCUUCAACUCCAAAGUCUGACGGAAAGAACCUCUAGUAUAUAUGCACAGAAAAUUACACGAAUAAGCUUAGCUAGCCCACCACACAUGCACAUAAACAUUCUCCAGAUUGUUGUACUUUAACAAGAGGAUAUAUAUAUAUAUAUAUACCUUUAUAUUACCAGCAACUUUUAUGGCUUCGAUGAUUUUGAGCUGGUCGAGAACCUGAGGAUAAGCUACUGUGGAGAUUACUACAUCCACAUGACGAAGAACCGAUACAAGUUUCUCCUGCUCAUCGAAUUCUCCCUGCAACACUUGAAAACUGUUUAGUUAUAUCGUCAUUCUUUUGAACACGUACAUGUAGAGUGAAGGGUAAUCAAGAUGAGUGCUGGUAAAUUAGAAAACGAAGGGGUAAUUAGAUUAAUCAAUAGAUACUUGAACAAUGGUGACCCCCAUGGCUUGGAAUUCCUCGCGGAUGCCUAUUUUAGCAGGAGAAGAUUGCGUGGUGAUGGGACGAGCAUAUACGUAAGUUUUGUGGCCCAUUGAAACACUUGCUUUCACCAUAUACUUGCCUAAGUAGCCAGUUCCCCCAAAUAUGAGGAUCUUGCUCUUCUCAUUCUCCAUUGCUUGCUCUCUAAUUAGCAACCACAACUAGCUAGAUAAUUUAUAGAGCAGAAAACUGACCUCGGGUUGGGUUGAUGUCAUCAUACACCCUUCAGCUCUUAAUUUUGUGUUGAAAAGAUCCAACGUCUUUUUUGUCAUUUUAUUUUACAAUAACUAUCAUCUUGUGAUCCCUAACAAUUAAGUUAUCAUUAAAAACAAAUAUAAAACUAUCAAAUAGUAAACUUUGUCAAAAUUAUCAAAAUAAAUAAAUAUCAAGAGUAAUCAUAAUAAAUAAUCACAUUCAUGCAUGAUCAAUUAAUCCAGUCCAAUAGAAUUAUCAACAAGUUCAAGGAGUGAGUAUUAUUUUGGGAUAGAUUUUAUUCCCGUAAUACCAUAUAUUUGCUACGAGUUGUUUUUCCUCUUUUUUUUUUAAUUUUAUUUUUAUCUCAACUGUUUUUAGGUUAAAAGCAAGGAAAUAGUUUUUUUUUUUUUAAAAAAAAAAAAAAAAAAAAAAAUGUAUCAUAAUAGAUGUAUGAUAAUGGAUAUAUAUACCUAUUUGAAUUCAUUUAACUCUUACCUUUUUCAUCAACACAUUUAAGUUAUUAGAUUAAUUUUAAUCAAGUUUAUAAUUUGACAAGUAGGGACUCAAUUAAGAAAAUUAAGUCAAGGACUCAAUUACAUUUACUCUAAAAUAGAUGAUUAAAAAACAAUAAAUUCAAAACUCAUUUUAUAUGAAGAAAUAAAAUAUAAAUGCCAAAGUAAUUAAUUUUUUUAAUCAAAUUCAAGCAUUUUAAUACACAUUAAUUAAUAAAGAGUCUAAACUAUAGAAACAUGUUAGUGGUAUCAAGUGGCUGAAGACGAUGAAGUUAAAAAUCUAAAUAACAAGCAUCACAAUUACUUGUUGGACUUCCCCACAACAAUCCAGUGCAAGGCUCACUUGUGAACCACAGAUACACGAAGGCACCACUGCCAGUACUGAGGCAGAUGACCACAGCCCGGAACUCGAGAAAAUGACAAGGAAAACGAAAAAACAUAAGGACACUUUCACGUGAUAAAACAUGACAAGUCAAUAAUGAUACUAUUCAUAUAGAAAGGUUUCUUUGCUAGAAAAUAAUUUUUUUAAAAAAAAUUUAAAUUUUUAAAAAAUUAAUUAUUUUAUGAUAUUUGAAAGUAUAAUAACAAAUAAAUUAGAAAAUAUUUUUCAGUGUUUGGUUAUGUCAUGAAAAAUAAGCUGAAAAAUAACUUAUUAAUGUUUUAUUUUUUCAAGUUUAUUAAAAUUAUAAGGAACAAAUCUUACAAAUUAAAAAGUUAAAUGAUAAUAAAAUUGAAAAAAAAAUUAAUUCAUAAAUUAUCUCAAAUAAAAUAAAUAAUAAUCAAAAUAAUAGAGAUCAAAUCUAAAGAAUAAAAAAAUUAAAAGAUGAAGAAAUUAAAAUAAUAAUAAUUAACAUUUCAUAAAUUAUUUCAAAUAAAAUAAAUAACAAUCAAAAGAAUGAGGAUCAAAUUUGAUAGAUAAAAAAAUUCAAUUAAAAAAUGAUAAGGAAAAAGAAAAUAAUAAUUAUAAAAAUAAGAACCAAAGUUAAUAUAAAAAUUAAAUUAUAAGGGAUGAAAUUAAAAAAUAAAUAUUCAAAACAAAAUAUAUAUAGCAAUCAAAAAUUUGAGGACUAAAUUUCAUAUAAUCAGCAAAUAAUAUGAUAUUUUUAAAUUUUUCGUAACUUCCGGAAAAUGUUUUCUAUCCAAAAUAAAAUGAAAACACUUUUUAAAAACCGAACCAAAUUUUUCUUUAACUAGAAAGUGUUUUUUAUUUACCAGAAUGUUUUCUAUUGACCAACUUUCUAAUAACAAAUAAAUACAGAAAAGUUUAAAAAGUAAUUUUCCCAAAACUAUUUUUUAAAAAAUAAACGCACUUAGAUUUGUAGUAUUAUUUUCACUUUCAAGGCUGACAAAAAUGUCAGAUAUUGGAGUAUUAUGGUGAGAUUCAUUAAUAAUUUUAAUAGGAGGUCCGAUGAUUUAUAGUAUUCAAUUUCACUUUCAAAGCUCACAAAAAUGUCAGAAAUUGUAUUAUUAUGGUAAGAUUCAUUAAUAAUUUUCAUAGGAGGUACCAUGAUUUGUGUGAGGGUAGAGUGUAAGAUCUUGAGUUUGUAUUUUAGAAAUUAUUAAUUUUGAGUCUUAUAAAUUUUAAAAUUAUUAAAAUUUUAUAUGAUUGUUAACUUUAAAAAACCAAGAAUAAUAAUAAUUGCAGUACCAAAGCCUAUUCUAACAAGUCUCAGCAACAGGAAACAGAGAAGGUGACACACUAGAUCCCUCCAAGGACAAUACAUCCAAGGUACAUAGAGAAAGGACUCCGAUUAUUAAUGAUAAUGGCCGAGCUCGGCCUCACAACCUGAUCUUUUAGAUGUCCGUCUAUCUGCGGACGUUACAAACAAGAAAAAAAAUUCAAGACAUGGCAAUCACAGAUCAUAAAACUCAUUCAAAAGCAGCAGCUGCAGGAUCUGGAGGGCUAGUGAGAAAAACAUCAAGAAGUUGAUCGAUCGUUCUAAAUUCCAGGUCUGGAUAUAGCCCGGAAGCCUCCAAGUCAUCCUCUCCCAGUUCAAACCCCAUCGUGUCACCCUUCACGAACAAACUGUGAAGAAUAGAAACUGGAAUAUUUUGUGGAUGUGGAAGGGCUGCACCAGAU